AGGCACUAUAGGUACUGAAGUUCAGAUUUAGGAACUCCUCACACGUUAAAAGACAUUUCUGUCCUUUAGUUAAUGACGUCAUGCCUGUUAAUUUAGUGCGGCUAAUUCCAUUGUGGAUCGACAUUGUGAAGGGUUUACUGUUUACGAAGAUAAAUUCCAGAGAACAUAAUCCUCUGUCACCCUUUGAAAUCUGAGUGAAUCUCUCGAAGCCUUUCUGUCUCGAUCAUCGGACGGAAAUUUACGAUGGUUCUCCGGUGGUGAAGAAGCGGAGGAUCUGAUAUCUAAGCUCUAGAGGAUUUCCGGAGAUGUCGCAAGAGAUCUCGUCUUAGAGACUUGCAUGUUUUGAUUUUUCCUACAUUGGUUCUGGAUCAGAUGUUUCAGAUCCUUUCAACUUCCCCACUAUUAUCAAGAUUGAGGUUGUAGAAGAUGAGGAUGAUGAGUCUGAUACAUAGCCCACGAAAGUUUUGGUACAUAUCAAAAUUCGGAGAGAUAAUGUUUGUUCUUUCGGACUCUAUGCUCUAGCUACUAAUUAAGCUAGUGUGCCAAGCUCGAUCCAUAACCAUUUGAGGAAUUGCACUCUUUAUCUAAAGGUGAAACAAAUGUUGAACUCUCUUUGAACUCUCUUCAUCAUCCUCUAAAGAUACGACAAUUAGGGGGAGGUGUUUACUUCUUUCCUCUGUUUUGUUCUCUUAUCCUUUGUUUCAGCUAAUUUCUAAAGAUACAUUCGAAAAACAUACAUGAGAAGAUGUACGUGGACAGAUCAAGAAGAAUGGAGAGCUUCUACGUUAACUAUGACCAAUCAUUUGGAUCUGGACUCUAAUUCAAAUAUGAGUAGUUGUUCUGAUAAAAUCGACAUCUUGAAAGUUUCAUAAAAUUAGUAUAUAUAUUGAGUUAUUGAUUUAUAAUUGACUUAUAGUGGAUCAAAAAAUAUUCAUGAUUACAAGAAGAAAAUACACUUUAAACUUGUAAUUGAUCUCUUUAUUACAUGGAACUUUAUGGUUGAUUAUAUGGUCGCUUUUAUCGGCACAACCAACCAAA